CCUCUGCACCCAUGCAAGGAAGGUUCUUCGCCAGCCAGACCAGGGCUAUUUUAAAAGACCAGCGCCUAUCCCCAGCCAUUAAGGUAAAGAUAGCCAGUCUGGCUGCUCACUGUCUUCUCAGAAAAAGGACCACUUCCCAGUUAUAGUCCCAGGCCUGCCUAGCAGGACACUCGGACUAGUCGGAGCUCCAUUAAGCACAUAACCCCUAUACUCAAAAGAGAUCGUGUCACUGGUUCACUUAGAGGAAAGCUCGUUUUAGAAAGAAUGUUUUAUUUUGCGGGGGAUGAAGGAAAUGCACAACUCUGGGUUCUGUCGGCACAUUGCUGAACUGCAAGUCACGUGCCAGAUCCAGAAAUGAUGAAAACAUCUGUUUUUGCUUUAGCCCAGCGAGGCCCCGACAGUGGGGAGGGGAGGGACCGGACCGAGAUCGCUUUGCUCACGAGCGCCAUCUGCCGAGCCUGCGCGGGAAAUGCGUGAAUAUCCGGCACAAUGCAGGUUACUCACCCCCAGGAAGGGACAGAUCCACAGGUGGGGGUCUGUACCCGAGAGACCACUAUCUUCAGAGAACAGCCCUGGCUGUGACCCGGGAACUUUGCAACUCUGAAUUGUCUCGAAGAGUACUCAACAAAGAGAUCUGUCCCUGGAGACUGCUCUAGGCAGAGGAAGAGGCCGAGGGAGGCAGCGAAUGAAUUCCCAGGUUGUAAAGGAAAGAGUUCAUGUAUGAAGAGUAUUCUCAGAUGAGUUUGGAAUGCCUUUUAAAGAAGAGCAAGCCCCCAGAAGUCUACCAGCUCCUAUUCAAGCCAUGUGAAGACAGGAAACAGCUGCCUGUACCAGUAUUUCCAGAACUAUGUCAAAGAAGAGGCAGGAGAAAAAAAAGUCCUACUAUAGGGUUCAGAGAAAGAAGCAAAAAGCAAUUUGAUAAUUUUUAUUUUAGAGCCUGUGUUGCUUGGGAGCUGUAGACUUCCAGGCGUGAAGACUAAGGGACAUACCAUAAAUCCUUAGGGAGGGAGGCAGAGGUCUAGGGUAUAAAUCCAGUAGUAGAGUGCUACCUUAGCAUGCACAAGACUCUGUGUUCAAUCCCUAGGACCAAAAGGUGGGGAAGGGCUGAGCAAUCCUGGGAAAUAACCUUAAAAGAUUCAGAAAAUCACCUCCUUAACCAACUGUCUCAUACAUAGUUACAGUUCUCAGGGAGGCACUGUGGAAGAAUUCUGUUUACUUCAAAACAGUCAUCAACACACCUCCUCACCCACCAGCCAACACAACUCCCAGCUCAUCAACCAGCACACAGACAUUGUGUUCUUCCAGG
rnacentral:lncRNA from 1 species